rnacentral:rRNA from 1 species
UACGUAGGUGGCGAGCGUUGUCCGGAUUUGCUGGGCGUAAAGAGCGCGCAGGCGGCUGGUCAAGUCCGAUGUGAAAGCUCCCGGCUUAACUGGGAAAUUGCAUCGGAAACUGAUCGGCUGGAAGGUGGGAGAGGGUAGCGGAAUUCCCGGUGUAGUGGUGAAAUGCGUAGAUAUCGGGAGGAACACCAGUGGCGAAAGCGGCUACCUGGCCCAUUCUUGACGCUGAGGCGCGAAAGCUAGGGGAGCAAACGGG